rnacentral:rRNA from 1 species
AGACUUGACAUCUCCUGCAUUACCCUUAAUCGGGGAAGUUCCUUCGGGGACAGGAAGACAGGUGGUGCAUGGUUGUCGUCAGCUCGUGUCGUGAGAUGUUGGGUUAAGUCCCGCAACGAGCGCAACCCUUAUUGUUAGUUGCUACCAUUUAGUUGAGCACUCUAGCGAGACUGCCCGGGUUAACCGGGAGGAAGGUGGGGAUGACGUCAAAUCAUCAUGCCCCUUAUGUCUAGGGCUACACACGUGCUACAAUGGCAAGUACAAAGAGACGCAAUACCGCGAGGUGGAGCAAAACUCAAAAACUUGUCUCAGUUCGGAUUGUAGGCUGAAACUCGCCUACAUGAAGCUGGAGUUGCUAGUAAUCGCGAAUCANCAUGUCGCGGUGAAUACGUCCCCGGGUCUUGUACACACCG